GAUGAACGCUAGCGGCAGGCUUAAUACAUGCAAGUCGUGGGGCAGCAUGAGUAGCAAUACUUGAUGGCGACCGGCAAACGGGUGAGGAACACGUACACAACCUUCCUUCAAGCGGGGAAUAGCCCAGAGAAAUUUGGAUUAAUACCCCAUAAUAUAUUUGAUAAGGCAUCUUAUUAAUAUUAAAGCUUCGGCACUUGAUGAUGGGUGUGCGGCUGAUUAGAUAGUUGGCGGGUAACGGCCCACCAAGUCUACGAUCAGUAGCUGAUGUGAGAGCAUGAUCAGCCACACGGGCACUGAGACACGGGCCCGACUCCUACGGGAGGCAGCAGUAAGGAAUAUUGGACAAUGGACGAAAGUCUGAUCCAGCCAUGCCGCGUGGAGGAUUAAGGUCCUCUGGAUUGUAAACUUCUUUAUAUGGGACGAAAAAGGGCAUUCUUGUUCACUUGACGGUACCAUAUGAAUAAGCACCGGCUAACUCCGUGCCAGCAG
rnacentral:rRNA from 1 species